UGUGCACUCUUUCUGGGUUGCCCUAGGUAC
rnacentral:piRNA from 1 species